UUUGUAAUCUUGAGAUUUGAUAGCUUUAAAUUUUUAAAUUUGAGAUUUAAAAAUAUAGAUUUUAAUUUUGAAUUAUAAAUUAUAAAUUAUAAAUUGUUAUUUUUAAUUAUUUAAAUUUUAAAUUUAAAUUUAAAUAUAAUAAUUGAGACAAUAUCAUUAUUUUUUAUUUAUAAUUACCCACUAUUUUCUUACUCAAUCUUAUCUAUCCAAACGUAAUUUUUCUUAAUUUCGUGAACAAUUCAAUUAUCAUUCAAAUAUAAAAUUAAUUUAAUUCAGACUUAACUCUGAAUUUAAUCCUACCUCUAAAAUAACUAGCUCUUAUUUAAUCCGGA
rnacentral:lncRNA from 1 species